rnacentral:rRNA from 1 species
GAUGAACGCUGGCGGCGUGCCUAAUACAUGCAAGUCGAGCGAACAGACGAGGAGCUUGCUCCUCUGACGUUAGCGGCGGACGGGUGAGUAACACGUGGAUAACCUACCUAUAAGACUGGGAUAACUUCGGGAAACCGGAGCUAAUACCGGAUAAUAUAUUGAACCGCAUGGUUCAAUAGUGAAAGACGGUUUUGCUGUCACUUAUAGAUGGAUCCGCGCCGCAUUAGCUAGUUGGUAAGGUAACGGCUUACCAAGGCAACGAUGCGUAGCCGACCUGAGGGGCUGAUAGGCCACACUGGAACUGAGCCACGGUCCAGACUCCUACGGGAGGCAGCAGUAGGGAAUCUGCCGCAAUAGGCGAAAGCAUGACGGAGCAACGCCGCGUGAGUGAUGAAGGUCUUCGGAUCGUAAAACUCUGUUAUUAGGGAAGAACAAAUGUGUAAGUAACUAUGCACUGCUUGACGGUACCUAAUCAGAAAGCAACGGCUAACUACGUG